AGUGAACGCUGGCGGUAGGCCUAACACAUGCAAGUCGAACGGCAGCACAGUAAGAGCUUGCUCUUACGGGUGGCGAGUGGCGGACGGGUGAGGAAUACAUCGGAAUCUACUUUUUCGUGGGGGAUAACGUAGGGAAACUUACGCUAAUACCGCAUACGACCUACGGGUGAAAGCAGGGGAUCUUCGGACCUUGCGCGAUUGAAUGAGCCGAUGUCGGAUUAGCUAGUUGGCGGGGUAAAGGCCCACCAAGGCGACGAUCCGUAGCUGGUCUGAGAGGAUGAUCAGCCACACUGGAACUGAGACACGGUCCAGACUCCUACGGGAGGCAGCAGUGGGGAAUAUUGGACAAUGGGCGCAAGCCUGAUCCAGCCAUACCGCGUGGGUGAAGAAGGCCUUCGGGUUGUAAAGCCCUUUUGUUGGGAAAUAAAAGCAGCAGGUUAAUACCCCGCUGUUCUGACGGUACCCAAAGAAUAAGCACCGGCUAACUUCGUG
rnacentral:rRNA from 1 species